rnacentral:rRNA from 1 species
AUUGAACGCUGGCGGAAUGCUUUACACAUGCAAGUCGAACGGUAGAGGGGCAACCCUUGAGAGUGGCGAACGGGUGAGUAAUGUAUCGGAACAUGCCCAGUCGUGGGGGAUAACGUAGCGAAAGUUACGCUAAUACCGCAUACGAUCUAUGGGUGAAAGCGGGGGAUCGCAAGACCUCGCGCGAUUGGAGUGGCCGAUAUCAGAUUAGGUAGUUGGUGGGGUAAAGGCCUACCAAGCCGACGAUCUGUAGCUGGUCUGAGAGGACGACCAGCCACACUGGGACUGAGACACGGCCCAGACUCCUACGGGAGGCAGCAGUGGGGAAUUUUGGACAAUGGGCGAAAGCCUGAUCCAGCCAUUCCGCGUGCAGGAAGAAGGCCUUCGGGUUGUAAACUGCUUUUGUACGGAACGAAACGCGCUGAGUUAAUACCUCGGCGUAAUGACGGUACCGUAAGAAUAAGCACCGGCUAACUACGUGCCAGCCGCCGCAGUAA